rnacentral:rRNA from 1 species
GAUGAACGCUAGCGGCAGGCCUAAUACAUGCAAGUCGAACGGUAAGGCCCUUUCGGGGGUACACGAGUGGCGGACGGGUGCGUAACGCGUAUGCAACAUGCCUUCCAGCGGGGGAUAUACCAGGGAAACUUGGCGCAAUACCCCAUAGAAUUACGGGACCGCAUGGUCUUGUGAUUAAAACUCCGGUGCUGGGAGAUUGGCAUGCGUGACAUUAGCUAGUUGGCGGGGUAACGGCCCACCAAGGCGACGAUGUCUAGCUGGUCUGAGAGGAUGAUCAGCCACACUGGGACUGAGACACGGCCCAGACUCCUACGGGAGGCAGCAGUGGGGAAUUUUGGACAAUGGGCGCAAGCCUGAUCCAGCCAUGCCGCGUGCGGGACGAAGGCCUC